rnacentral:rRNA from 1 species
CUACGGGCCGCUGCAGUCGAGGAUCUUUGGCAAUGGGCGCAAGCCUGACCAUGCGACGCUGCGUGCGGGAAGAAGGCUUUCGGGUCGUAAACCGCUGUUACAGGGAACGAAGGUUCUGACGGCGAACACCCGUCAGGAUUUGACGGUACCCUGAGAGAAAGCCACGGCUAACUCCGUGCCAGCAGCCGCGGUGAUACGGAGGUGGUAAGCGUUGCUCGGAUUCACUGGGUGUAAAGGGCAAGUAGGCGGCCCUGUAAGUCGGGUGUGAAAUACUAUGGCUCAACCAUAGAACUGCGCCCGAAACUGCGGGGCUUGAGGAUGGGAGAGGCGAACGGAAUUCCCGGUGUAAGGGUGAAAUCUGUAGAGAUCGGGAGGAACACCAGUGGCGAAGGCGGUUCGCUGGACCAUUUCUGACGCUGAGAGGCGAAAGCUAGGGUAGCAAACAGGAUUAGAUACCCCCGUAGUC